CACACACCAUUUUGUUAGAAGUACACUGCAAAAUUAGAUAGGCUAGCUGUAAUUACUCCGCAGAUUGGAUUUGGGCGUCUUUGGCUUUUACUUUUUACGAGGAUCUUUCACACUUUUGAAACUUUGGCCACUCAACAUGUUGCAACUACUCAUAUUAGGAACUCAUCUUUAUUUCAUGUCACAUGCAGUUUCAGGUGCUUCCACUGCAGGCAUUCAUUCUACACCAGAUUCACAGGCCCUGGCCCCUGCCAGUAGCACCAUCGUGCCCAUCCCAGACUCUACCUUCUUCCUCUCCAUUAAAAUCACCAACCGAAUCUUCAAUGAGUCUCUCGAAAACCAGAGCUCAGAGGACUACAGGGAACUGCGAGGUGAACUCACGCGACUGCUGGAUGAUGUCUACACAUCAGAGCCUUAUAAUUACUCAGGCAUCUCAGCGAUGACCUUCAGUAAAGGAUCUGUGGUAGCAAACACGACAAUUGCGUUCAGGACCACAGACAUAAUCCCCUCUGUGGUCAAAAAUCUAUUUCUCGAUUAUGUAAAGAAAAAUCCACCGUCAAAUCUUGAACUCAACAUCACUGAAGUGCAAGAGAUUCCCCUGCCAGAUGUUGGACCUCAAGAAAAUGGCACGACUAGUGCAACUACGCUGACCGUAUCUCCACGUCCCAACACAGCAACUGAAACUACUGUAAACCAUGAGUCCACCUCUUCAUCAGGAAUCACAAAUACUAAACCUACAGUUUCUGAAACUCCUCCUUUUACUCAGACUGUGGGUAGCAUGCCUAACACAACUCGUUUCCACUCAGAAAAUGAUACUAUUAUUAGUUCCUUAACAGGUUCCAUUAGCAGUACCACGGACACAACUAACUCUCCAUCAAGUCCAUCAAGUGAAAGUACCCAAUCCCAGCUGACUCAUGAUACUGAAGACUCCACAACUACUUCACAUUCACUCAGCAAUAGUACUGUCAAUCCCAUUACCAAUUUUUCUAUAUCAAGUAGUAGUGGAGGUUCCACAAGAAAUAUACGUUUUACAUCCAGUAGUACUACUAAUGAUUCCUUGUCAGAAACUUCUAGUCCACACAUAAAUAGUAGUAUAUAUAGUAGCAGUAGUCCUACUGUUCACCCACCAGUUAGUACUUCUAUGACUACAGUUAUUACUUCCUCACAUAAUACUACUAUUCAUUCCACUGAAAUCACAAAUGCUACCUCUUUAAAUAUAACCCAAUCUCCACCAUUGGCAAGCACUACUGACCACCCUAUUAAUGGCACUCCCAACACUUCAGAAAGGAGCACAGCUAAGUUUCACUCACCAGUUAGUACUGCUAUGACUACAGUUAUUACUUCCUCACAUAAUACUACUAUUCAUUCCACUGAAAUCACAAAUGCUACCUCUUUAAAUAUAACCCAAUCUCCACCAUUGGCAAGCACUACUGACCACCCUAUUAAUGGCACUCCCAACACUUCAGAAAGGAGCACAGCUAAGUUUGCGACGACUUUUACGCCACACAGCGCUUCUCCUCAUCCCAAUCCCGGAACCACUGCUCAGCAUGCUAGCAGCCGGCCUGCUAGCACUGCCAGCACAAGCAGCCCUCCGCUGGCUAAAACAACAAGCAGUCACACCACAAGAACCACUUCGGCACCACACCCCAGCCCCACCAGUUCAGCGAGCGCUGGCACGCAUGACCACACCGCAGCUGCAGCCGACGGAAACAGCCAGGAGGUCCCAGGCUGGGCGAUAGCCUUGCUGGUGCUCGCUUCCCUCAUCCUGCUCUUCCUCAUCCUCCUCUUCGUUGCACUGCUGGUAUACUGGUGCUGUAAAAGAAGACAGUAUGACUUCAUGAACAUGUCUGAGGACCCUAGCAUCUAUAACCAAAUCAACCGUGGCGCUGAUAUUCCCAUGUACACCACCCACAGCCCCUUUGAGUCUUCCAAUGGCAAGCCCUAUGAGGAGAUGGACAAACCAAUAAAAAACCGAGCAACGUAUACCGUGAACCAUCGGUAAUUUCACUGAGGAAGAUUUCAAUGUUGACUCCAGCCAGUGGAAUCCUGAGUACUGAAGUGCAGUCUAUGGACAUUUUCUGUAAGACUGGUGGCAGGAGGUAUUGCUACUCCAACAUACAGGGUAUACUCAUACAUCCGCAUCAUCAGUGUCAGCCACCUUGAAGUCACACAACGAGAGCAAGUGUUCUUAAACUGUUUCUUUUUUGUAUUUUUGGUCAUUUUAUGGUUGGUUUAGGGCUUGCACACACUCUAAUGUCACUAUGUGUAUGUUUUUUCAACGUACUCCAUUCUUCAAACUUGGCUGUAUGGCACAAAAUAUGUAUAAGAUGUAAAUGUGCUAAUGACAUUAGCAUCUGUAGCAAGAAUGUUAAACUUCCAAAGGAGCAGACUUUCAUGUUAUUUAUAGCUUUGGCGAUUGUGAUAUACAGCAGACAGAAUGUGUAAUACACAUACUGGGGUUAAUAUUAAAUGGAGGCUCACAGGUUUUUAACAGUAGUUCAAGACUAGAAACCACUUUUAUAUUCAUCCAUGUUUUCAUGAAUAGAAUAUCAGGGUGAUUUCUGUGAUCGAUUGCUAGCUGAUCAUUCUUUUCUCAUGGCUUCAAAUUGGACCAUAAAACAAACAAGAAUUUGAGACUUGAUAAGUGGUGCUUGGUCUGUAAUAUGUAUCAUAGCCAUUGAAUGAUAUACUCUAGAUUGUGUGCAUAUACAGUACAUUUCCAAAAGUAUGUGGACUCCCCUUCUAAUUAGUGGCUUUGGUUAUUUCAGUCACACCUUGCUCAUAGGUGCAUAAAAUCAAGCAUACAACCAUGCAAGCUCCAUUGACAAACAUUGGCAGUAGAAUGGGUUGUACUAAAGAGCUCCGUGACUUUCAACACUGCCAUUGGAUGCCAUCUUUCCAGCAAGUCAGUGUGUCAGAUUUCUGCACUGCUUAAGUUACCCCAGUCAACUGAAAGUGCUGUUAUUGCAAAGUGGAAACAUAUAGGAGCAACAACAGCUCUUGGUUGAAAUACUCACUACAGUUCCAAACUUGGCCCCUUAGUUCCAUUGAAGGGAAAUCUAAAAUGACAUUCUUGAGAAUUCCAGCUUUGUGGCAACAGUUUGGGGAAGGCCCUUUCCUGUUUCAGCAUGACAAUGCCCCCAUGCACAAAUCUGGUGGGGAAGAACUUGACUGGCCUUCACAGAGCUCUGUCCCUUACCCCAUCAAACAACUUAGGGGUGAACUGGAAUGCCGGCUGCGAGCCAGGUCUUAUGGCCAUCAUCAGUGCCCAAUCUCACUAAUGCUUUUGUGGCUGAAUGGAAGCAAAUCCCUGCAGCUGUUCCAAAAUCUAGUGGAAAGCCUUCCCUGAAGAGUGGAGGCUGUUUCAGGCUGUCCUACUCCAUAUUAAUACCCUUGGUUUUGGAAUGAGAUGUCCAUAUGUCCAUAAGUCCAUAUGGGUGUGAUGUUCAGGGGUCCACAUACAUUUGGAAAUGUAGUGUAUAAUAUCAAUUGCAUGUUUUAACCCAACUGAAACAUCUGCAUAUUUACAAAUGUAAAUAUAGGUAUUGUGAACAUUUUACAAUUCUAUGAUGUUACUGUAUGAAUGCCUGGAGUGCAUUGUGUCUAUUUGCAGUAUUUAUGACAGCAGAAUGACAAUGAAAAAAGAUUUAUCUGAGAUAGCAGAUUACACAUUGACAUGUUCCUCAUGUUUAAUUUACACAUUACUCACCUGUACUGUUCUGAAUGGUAGCUGCACAGGGUUAUAAAACACAACAUGAAACUGUGUAAUGAUCACAUUUUAUCAAAAUCCCAGAGUCCCAUUACAGUCUUAUACCAGCCCAGUAACUGUGCCAAACCAGAUGUUCCAUUAAAAAUAAUUCUGUGCACAAUGUUAUUUUAACCUUCUUGUUUUAUUCAUAUUAACUACAUGACAUCCUGCCCUGUGCAUGCUCAAUACUGGUGACUCAAAACUGAUUAUCCAAAGUUUGAACCUCAGUGACAUUCUGUGUGACACACCCACUGAAUGCUAUUUUGAAAAGGGGAAAAUCAAAUAAUAAUUUGUAAUAUGCAUUGUUUUUUUUAGCAGUGUUUAAUCAAAAUAAAAAAAGCACAAAACUA